GAAUGUGAGGGCAAUCUGGCUGCAACAUCCAUCACCCUAUUGGUUUCCAGGGUUGAUUCAGCUGAUCUGACUGGAUAGGCAGGUAUCCCCUUCCUCCCUCACUGCUUCUUGUUUCUCCUUACCAAAGCUGAGUCCUUGGUCAAAGAGAAUGACCUUCCCUGAUAGAGGAGGAGCAUUCUUCAGUCAAGGAUAUACGAGUAGCUGCACUGCCCUCCAAACAAGCUCAUUAAAAGGUACAAAAAUAAUGCAACUAGUUUCACUGCAUUUCAAU
rnacentral:snRNA from 1 species